UAUUCUCUAUAAGUGAUGUAAGACAAUAGAACAGAGUACAGUAUCAAAGAUAUAUGUUCCAGUUGAUUGGGAUCUUCUGAAACCUCAUAUGCUUCUACUUAAUCAACUCCACAAAAUAUGCUUUCCAAUGACCAAGUUCUAUAAGUAAAUCUUGUAUACUGGACUGCACUUCAUCUAUUGUUAUUGUUCCUUAAUUUCUUGUUUGAUACUUUUGGUAAUGGUGUAUCUAAAAGUUAUGUAUUGACAUAGGCACCAAGAAAUCGGCAUUUAUCAGCUGUCCUGCCUUAUAUUGUUUUUGUAUAAAAUAACAAAUGAGAUGGUUAGGAUAUGAGGGACAGGGCACGAGAAAGUUGGAAAAACUCAAAUAUUGAAGGAUAUUUCGUAGGUUUCCUGAUAGCAAAUAUAAGGCAGAACAAACAGAACAAAAUAACUAGAAUAGAAGCCAGAGAAGUUCAGAAUUGAGGAACUUGGGGAGAAAAUUGAAAACUCGAUGCAGAUGAUCUGAUUGACCUGAAUCUCAGGUCAAUUACUUGUUUAGAUGGGUGCUACCUGCUGUAACAGAUCUCACAGAUAACCAACUUAGCCUUAUCCCAGCUUAAUGGGGUCGGCUUCAUGGACCCAAACAAAAUUAGGGAAAAUUGAGGUCUAGACAGAAAGGGAGGAUGAAGAAUGAGAAAAUAGGGAUAGGAAAUGAGAUGAGAAAUGAAAAGUGAAAAGUGACAAAUGAAAGAUAACGAAUGAAAGAUGAAAGUAAAAAAGGAAAGAGGCGCAACUCAACAAGUUAGGAGAAUCUGAGCUAAAUGGGAUUAGCUACAUGGAUCCUUGCUCUACAAUAGGCUCUAAGGUCAUACUUGGUACAAGACCCAAAUUGUGCAUGUCAUUCCUCAAAACUUCUCCUGUGAUCGUUUUAGGCCUACCACUAGCUCUUUUAGCUCCUUCAAUCCGAAUCAUAUCACUCUUCCUUUAAUGGGGUGUCCCUAUGCCUCUGUUGAACAUGACCAAACCACCUGAAACGAAUUUCUGGGAGCUUGUCAUUGAUCGAGGCAAGUCCCAAAUUAGCUCUAAUACUUUCAUUCCUUACUUUAUCCUUUCUAGUUUUUUCGCACAUCCAUCUUAACAUCCUCAUCUCUGCUACAAAUAGCUUCGUAAUGUGACAUUUCUUCACAGCCCAGCAUUUCGCCCCAUAGCUAGUCGAACAAUAGUUCUAUAAAACUUUCCUUUAAGUUUUAACGGGAUACAUCAGUCACACAGUACUCCAGUUGUACCUCUCCAAUUCAUCUAUCCUACUUUAAUUCUUUGUGAAACAUCAUCCUAUACAUCACCUUCUUUAUUUAUAAUUGAUCCCAGAUAUUUAAAAGAGUCGCUUUGCAGUAUCUCUUUCCCAAUUACCAUUGUGUCAUUAUCCAUCAUAGAGUGACUAAAACAUAUGCUCUGUCUUCAUUCUACUAAUAUUAAAGCAUCUUUUUUCCAAGGUUGAUCUCCAAAGCUCUAACUUAGCAUUAAUUCUUGUUUUUGUCUCAUCCACCAAGACGAUAUCAUCGGCAAAAGAGUAUACACCACGGGACCUCAUCUUGAAUGCUCUUUGUUAGCUCAUCCAUAAUAAGCGCAAGUAGAUAAGGGCUUAAGGCUGAUCCGUGAUUGGGAAUUCUUUACCCUUACCUCCCACAGAUCUCAUACUAGUCACCACACCCUCAAACAUAUCUUUAAUUACAUCCAUAUAUUUACUCAACACCCCUCUCUUCAGUAGGACACGUAGGAUUAAAUAUCUAGGGACUUUGUCAUAGGCUUUUUCCAGGUCAAUAAAGAUCAUAUGGAGAUCCUUCUUGGUAUCUUUAUAUCUUUCCAUGAGCCUCCUCAAUAAAUAGAAAGCUUCUGUCGUGGAUUUACCUGACAUAAAGCCAAAUUGGUUCACAGAUAUAUGAGUCCCUCUUCUUAAACAACAGAUCUCAGAGAUCUGAGAGCAUAAUAGUGGUGCAUAGGUGUAUUCCUAAUGGAAAUAGAAAACAGGGAAGGCUCUUAGAACUUGAUUUCUAGCCACUCAAAAUUAUGAUUUCAGAAUAGAAUUCAAGAGCAUGGGCUACAGAAGAAACCCAAAUAUCAUAUUUGAAGCAAUUCUAAAUUUCUGACUAGUAUUAAGAAUGUUCUCAGAUGCUCUUUCAACAUGUUAUAGAAAGAAGCUCCUUAUUUGGUAGGUCAGUUACAAAACCUGGGAUUACUUCUUCACUGAAAAUAGAGUCAACAAUAGGGGUGCUGCAAGUUGUUGAGAAUCAAGGAACUGACCUGGUGAAAUGAACAAAUAAAUUGGACAAUAGAAGAAUGAAGAAUAAGAGAGGGAACAGGAAACCCACCUGUAAAGUAGUCCCUUGGAAUCCACCAAGAAACCUGAGAAUCCACUCAAGUCUGACUGCAAAUCUCUCACAGAAUAGAGUUGAGAACUGAACUUCCCUCCUUAUGGAUGAAAUCUUGGGGAUGGCCUACUGGCCUUACACAUAGUGUCAAGUGUGGAUACGAUUGGUUGAUAUGGUCUGAUACAUAUUGAGAUUGGCCAGGUUGAUACGAUACAAGACCAAUACAAAGAAUCGUAUCAAAUUGUUGCGGACCAAUAUGGUACUGAUACAGAUCAAUCAGUACCGAUAUGAUAACGAUGCAGACUGAUACACUCUACACACAGGCUGGAAAAAUCCAAAAAUCCUAGUUCUUGAAAACAAACUUCUUCCUACUCUGAUUUUCGGCCAAAACCUAAGUGGAUCCCAUCUACACUCAAAGAAGACCUAAGAGUGUAAAAAAGCAUAUAUUUGCACUUGCUAAUGAAUACUCAAAGAAGACCUAGGAGUGUAAACAAACAUAUAUUUGCACUUGCCAAUGAAUAUUUGAAUCAUAUAGAUUUUUCCUUUUCAAAUGUUCUUGCUUGCUUAUUGAAAAUUUGAAUCGCAUAGAUGCCUUAAGGAUAAAAUUAGACAUGGCAGUCCUCCUAAUCAACUACAUGUUCCACACAGCUAGGGAGGAAAUUAUCCUUAAGUCAGUGGGCCAGCAUAGUGCUUCACACGAUGCGAAGCAUGCACGGACACCGUAACAUUGGUUGGAUAUCAUUAUUUAUUGCCUAUCUAUGGUGUGCAAUUCUUGAAACUCUAGUUUUGCAUAUAUCAUAAGCAUAUCCAUGUGUAUUAAAGCAUAUCUACUAAGGGUGCACAUUUGACCCUAACGGCUCAAACCCGACCUGAGCUCGAACAGGGCCUGGGCUAAGAUUUCUAACCUUGAGGACAGUUUAGGGUUGAAAAAACACUAACCCUAUGUCACGGUUGGGCCUGGCCCGGGUUGAGGCCUAAGCCCGGCCCAACCCAACCCAGACUCUUAACCUUGGUUAUAUAAUAUGAUUUAUAAUGUAUAUAAUAUGUUUGAUAUAUAUAUUCUGACUUCUGCUGUACAUAUUAUUAUAAUAUAUAAUAUGCUGCCCGCCAUAUUAUAUAUUGGAUUAAAGUAGGUUUGGUUGAUUUUUUUCAGGCCCUAGCACGGCUGGGCCCAAUUAAGGGGAUGCAGGGUUGGGUUUGGGUUUUCAAAAACCCAGCCCAACCCGGCCCAUGUGCACCACGUAAUAUCUACCAUCUCUCAAAAAUCAUCUCCAAUACAUCUCUUGUAACCAGCUAUCCAAUACGCUGCCCAAUACUGAUAAUUAACAUCUUGACCUCAUAACCUGUAUGUUAAGAUGAGCUAGGACCCAAACCUAAUCAAAUUGAUAUUAAAGAAUUCCAAAUACUAAACUGAAAUCAGACCAAGCAAUCCUGCCGCCAAAUAUGGUGGCGUUCCUAGUCACUCUAGGACUCCUUGAAAAUAAAACAAACUGGACAACAUAAAAACUCAGUGCCUGAUGACUCUGUACCACUAAUGAAGACUGAACAAUGGAAAACAAAUCAAAUCAAAUCAAAAGACUGAAAUUGACCCAUUAACUAAACUGACAUAAUUUGUAAGAUAACUAUGGAGAGAAGUAUGUUAACCUUUUCUCCUCUUUUUAAAAUCUGCAUCACUUCCCUUUUGAUUACAAUGCCUUUAACAAGGAUUUGGUGAUGCAUUUUGCAUUAGACUAUGAUCCCAUAUGGAGUAUUAGGUGGAAGACUAGCAAGGGGCAGUUGGCAGUUCAAUGGGCUGAAAAUAAGCUUUGGGUGAUCAUGUUAUAGGUUGGGCCUUUGAUUUUCCUGAAUUUCAUGUAACUCGCCUAAUUUAUAAGCACAUAAAGUGGGGUUGCAGUUACUACACGAUAUUAGUAGUAAAAUUAGGUGCUUCAGUUUGAUUAGGAUAAUAGCUUUGUAAGAAUUUUGAUUUGAGAAAAAUUCAGUUCAGUAUAAGAGGGUGUUCAAGAGUCCUUUUCCGAGUCUAGAUGGGAAUUUCUAAGUCUGAUAUGUGUAUACACCCCCAUUAGUUAGCAUGAUUUGAAUAAAGAUAUUUUGAUUUUCUUUACAGUUUUGGAGCUGUUGAGCUGUGCAUAUGGGAUUGGUAUUCCAUAUCUGAUCUCCCUCCUCCUAGUUCUGUUCAUCUCUGAGAUUAGGUGCUCCAUCUUCUCUUUUUUUUUUCCUCUAUUCUUCAUGUUCUCUAAUAUCUGCUUCUACUUCUCCUCUCUGUUCUUAAGUUAUAUAAUUUCUUUUCUAUUCUUCUAUUAUGGUCCUACCGUCCUAUAUUAGUUCUAUCGAUUCCAUAUGGAUCCUGGGCAGUAGCAGUUUUCUGGCACUAGAUUUUUUCUAGAACCCCGAACUGCAAUAUUUGUAUCAGAGCCAAACCAGAGCUAAAGGUCUUAAACUUUAUUUUCAUUCAUGUCUUCUCAUAUCUUUCAUUUUUGUCUUCAACUACGUAAUGGGAGUUUGGCUAUGCUACAUAUGGAUGAUGAAUGCUAGGAAAGUAUUGUGUCACAAGCUAUGGUGCAUGAGUGCUGAAACUGAUGAGUUUGUUGAUGGAGGCAAUGAUGUUUUUUUCAUUACUUCUUGCUGUCCUUCUUGUUAACUUGUUAGUGUUUGCUGUCGUGUAUGUCCAUCUUCAAAGCACAUCAUCAAAGUGGGUAGACAAUGAUUGGAAGAACAUGAAGGUAGAUUUGAUCGCGAAAACUUGUGCUUUCUCACGUUUCCCUACACGUCAUGUCAAAUUGGCCUUCGUGGGUUGCACUAAAGAAAUUACUGUACAUGAAGAAAAUCCUAAACUUUCUACGGAAGUACAAAAAGAGGAUUAUGUCAAAUUUUUUUAAUAUGAUAAAACCCCUCUGAGGUGGGGCCACUUCCUUUCAAAUGACAACUGCCUCUUCCUGCUGCAGGGACAUUGCACAAAAUGUUUAUUGAUUUGGAGUAAUCGUAAAUCUAGUUUACCUAGCGACUGCACUUAUAAUUGAAAAAAGAAAAAAAAAAGGAUAACAUUAGAAAAACAGUGUUUGUCAUAACUUAUUGAUGACAGUCAUAACAUAGUUAGGCUCAUUAAUCUUCCCAGAGAGUUUAAAAUGACAAAUCAAAUAUUUUCAUUCUUGAGGCUUCUAUAUGCAAAGUUAAGUAUGUAAUAAUGAUGCAAGAUGUUCUUGAUAGCAUUGAGUUUGCAAGAGGUGAUCCUGAUUCAAAAUGGGGAUCUGUUUGAGCAGAAAUGGGACACCUAGAACCAUUUGACUUGAGAUAUGUUGCAAUAGGGAAUGAGGAUUGUUGGAAAAAGAAUUACAAAGGAAAUUACCACAAAUUCUAUUAUGCCAUAAGAAAUUCCUACCCAGACAUCAAGAUGAUUACAAACUGUGAUGGAUCCUCUCGCCCAUUGGAUCAUCCAGCUGAUCUAUGGCUGAUUUUCAUAUGGAACCCAGAUGCAAUUGUCUUUGAUUCAUCAUGACAAUAUGGAACUCCUAGCUACUAGAUGCAACAAUUUUUUGCGGAACCAAGUGGUGCAACCAUUCUCAACACCACCCUCGAACAAGUUCCCCAAAUUCAAAAAUUGCCUCUGCGAUUACUUGGAAAAACAUAAAUGACAACAACAAUUUCAUAAGAAUAAAGAUUGUCAACUUUGGGGGAGACAGUGAACCUUAAGAUAUCUGUUAAUGGACUGGAUCUGAACUCCAUAGGCUUAUUUGGGUCAACAAAAACUGAGCUCACAUCCAAUAAUUUAAUGGAUGAGAAUUCUUUCAAAGAGCCAGUAAAGGUGUGUGAUUCUGUUAUAUUUCCUUUUCAGUACCUACAAAAAAAUGACUUUAAAAGGCAGACAUGUAUGAUUAUGAAUCAAUGCUAGAUGAACUAUCUUGCAUUUCUCUACCAAAGAACAAACCAAGCCCCUCUGGAAUACAGAGGAAGUAUGAAGUGUCAAUGAACAUUGAAAAUAUACAAGGUUAAUUUUCUAGAGACAAGUAGAUUGAAAAUGUGGGUAAGUACUAAGCUGCUGAUUUGGAAUGGGGUGGGGGAGAGCAGAAGCAAGCAGACAUUUGCACUGAUAGAUAGAAGAUGAGCUAACAUAAGCAAGAGUGGCUAUACUGGUGAUAGGUGAUUUAUCUAGGAAAGAAAAAUUAGUAGAUCCAAUAGUUGUAUAUCACUCUUGAAUAAUAACUAAAAGAUAUAUAUUUUGAGAUAUGGGGGACAGAAAUACAAAUACCUUAAUUCUAUGAAGUAGCUUGAGAGGGUGAACAAUCCAAUUUUUUUUUGUGUUCAAAUGCAUAACCCAAUUGUGUGAUGCAGAAUAUGACUAGUAGAGAAGUGUUUGCUAAGUGGGGCUCACUUAGUUCCUUUUAGAGGACUAGCCCAUUGUCUAUAGCAAAGACCAGUGGAAGGUCAUGUCUAUAAAAGGCUUUCUAAGUCAUUCAUAAUGGAUGGUUUUUAUUUGGAAUGAGAAAGUGCAUUUUCUAUUGAUGGAAGUGUGUUCCAUUGAUCCUUGAUGUUCUUCAAGGAGUGCUAGUAUUAACUAGUAACUAGAAGCUCUUCUAUAAAAUUUCGUUUUCUAUUAUUUGUUGAUUCACUAAAUUUCACUACUCUUGCUUUGUUACAUUUGGAACAAAUGUAUUAACUUGGCCUACCCGUUCUUUACUUAGUUUUCAGAUUUCUUCCGGUACCUGUCUCUUUGUUCUGUUACUAUGACUGUCUGUGUUCACCACUCUUCUAAUCUCAGAUUUCUCAGAUCUCUCACUGGUAGAUACCCCUCAUCUUAAGGAGUUCUCAAUCUGAUUUUGAGGUCAAUCAGUUCUGUCCCUUUUGUUCUAUUCAAGUUCUCAUAUUCUUUGUUAAAUAUGAAAUUUUCUGAUUACAGAUGGUGUUUCAUAUUCUGUUCUGUUAGUUCCUUUUCCUAUAUUCUCUGUUCUGUUAUCCUAUUAAGUACUAGUCUCUUGCUCGAUUUUCUGGUUUAGGAUUAGUCUAUUAGGCAUACAGUAGUACCUUAACCCAAUCCUAAUUUUUCACCUUUGAAUGGAUGAGAAAAUAUAAGAUGAAGGUGAAUCCUUUGAAGUGUGCAUUCAGGGUAUCAGACUGAAACCUUUUGAGCUUUUUUAUCCACCAGAGAGGGAUUGAACUGGAUAAAAUAAGAACAUAAACUUGAUCUGGAUAAAAUAAGAACACAAAAUUGAUCUUAUCUUCUAAACAUUUAAGAAGAUAAUUACUGCAAUAAAGGGUGCCGGUGGAGACUUUUUAACCAGUCUAUAAAAAUGGCAUAGCCAAGGGAAAUCAAUAAUUCUGCUGCUAUCAGAGUAAUUGUGUUGAAAUGCAGUAGUGGAGGCAGGGGCGGAUCACUCAGCAUUGCAGCGAUGAAGGCAGGGACGGAGGAUCUCACAGUGAUGGGAGUCGGACCAGAUCUGGAAUCCCUUUUCCUAUCCAAAGUCCAAACCCACUUGCAGACUUGCAGUAGUACUUGUACCACAACGAGGGAGAUUGGAGUGUUGUUCUACUGAGAGAGAAAACUAUCAAAAGUGAAAACUUUUUUGUCAAGUCACAAUCAGGAUAAGGCAGGGCUGUUGCUUAGCAAAGGGUUUCCACCAUGCUUCUUCAUUCAACUGGGACAUACUUUGGUGACUUCUGAUAUCUAUUUUGUGUUUCACCUUUUUGUCUAUCUACCUUUUCUGUUGUUCCUCACAUAAUAUUCUGCCGGUUGCAUAUUUCUUUUGCUUAAGUUCUGCUUUUUUUCAGUAAAUGCUAAUUUUGCAAUGGAUUUGCAUCAGAAAGAACAGCUUCAUGAUGCAGUCCCUCCAUGACCCACUACAAGUAAGUCUUGGCUUCUAUGUGCAAGAUUGAGAUGCCCGGCCCAUUCAUAGAAUUCCAUGCAAUGGUUUGCAUUUUUUUCCUAAAAGAAUAAGUCAGAAACAAAAAGUAAAUUUUGUGUUGGCUCUUUGUGGAAACUACACAUGUAUGUGAUCUCUUUUGCCUUCUAUUUUUGCCCUUGAUUCACAAGCAGUAAAUUUGGUAUUGUCUUGUACUUGCUUCAAAAUAUUGAUUGGUCGGUCUAUUGGAUUUAGCUUUAGGGGAACAUAUUCAUCUUAUCAUCCACAACAAAAGCAGCAACAUGCUCCUUCAGUCAGUAGCAGGGGGUUUCCAUUACCAUUACUUCUGCUAACAUGAUCCACUUAUAGUACUCUGAUCGUUGGUCCCAUCCUCCCAUGCAGCCUAUCGCUCAAAGGUGAUAGAAAUCUUGUGGAAACUACUGGAAAAUGAAUUUGGCGUCUUAUAUUCUUUGAAAUACUGCAUUGCAAGGAUUUGGAAUUCCCUGGCGGCUUGCUCAAUAGUAUAAAAUGUUAUUGGUUGUUGUGAUACAUCUCAUCGCCGUAAGUAUUUCUAACCGUCGCCUCACAAGCAUGCGUAAUGAUCUUGGGGAGUCAAGUCCUGUUGACUCUAAUUGUGUUAGUCGGAUGAAUCAAACGAUUGGCUUCAUGAUGCAAUUCAAGGAAGAAGACUGUUCAUGUGGUUCUGUUCACAAGAACUUGUAAUUGCUGAUUUUGUAAUGGAUUUACAUCAGAAAGAACAGCUUCAUGACAAUGUUGUGUCCAUGAUGCAGUCCCACCACUACCCACUAGAAGAACUACACAACUUUAGGGGAACAUAUUCAUCUUAUCAUCCACAGAAAAAGCAGCAACAUGCUCCUUCAGUCAGUAGCAGUGGGGUUUCCAUUACUGCUGCUAACAUUCAAGACAUGAUCCAUUUACAGUACUCUGCUCAUUAGGUCCCAUCCUGCCAUGCAGCCUAUCGCUCAAAGGUGAUAAAAAUCUUGUGGAAACUGGUAUGUACUAUGGUAUUUGUUGCAUGACAAUCUACAUUAUAAUAAACGUAAAUAUAUAUUGAUAUGUAUGUGUUGUCUUUAGUCAAACGUAUGAUUGACUUGCUAAAUAUUAUGAUACAUACAGGGUGGCAGUACAAGUGUUCUUUCCCCAAUUUUCAAACUUCUUUCAAUACUGUUUGAUUUUCAUUACAAUCAUUUCUUUUUCUUUUUUGUUUUAAAAAUUUUCUCUUCUUAAUGUUGAGUAGGAUGCUAUUUUUGAGGUAAGUUUCUUCAUUUUGCCAAGCAGAUGCCUAUAUUUUAUACUUCUAUUUGUAGUAGUUAGUUCAUUCUGGAUCUGUUUUGAACAAACUUUCUGUUUAUUUACCAUAUUUACAAAAAUUCUUCUACUAAUAUGUUUCUUUGUGAUCCUUUGUAUGUAAAUUUAUUUUUCUAUUGUCUACCUCAUUGAAGUGGUCCUUUUUUUAUUUUUAUUUUUUUGUGCAAUCCCUCCAUAAAUUUUGCUUAUUCUCCAAAAUGUAAGAUGAAUUUUUUUUUAUUGAUUUUCUAGUUGAUUUCUGUUAUUAAAAUAACAUAUAUUGCAUUCAGCAUCACCACAGAUGACUUCGACGCUUGGAAAUUCAUAUCCUACAGUAGGAAGCUCACUACAUCAAAGCCAAGUCCAAGCUGGGAAUAACUAAAGCUUGAAGGGAAUGUUAAAUGCUGUGAACUACUAAUAUACUACAGUCACAUGAAUGCUACACAAAAUUAGGAUCUUGACCUACUCAUGCCCCCUGAGAUGAUAGCCCCUCCCAGACCUCCUCACGCCCCCUAUUGGAGGUCCUCACCGCGGGUUCCUCCCUUGUCCCCUCUCAGUACACCCUCCUGCAAACUCCUCCUCCAGUCCCCCUCAGCCAUAGGAAUAAAGUACAAACAUGUACCUACCUCAAGGCACAGGCUUAUCAUGCUAUCAAUACUCAAUUUAUUAUUACAUUACUUAAGCUCUAUCCCAGCAGCUGGGUUUUCAAACUAGACAAGAAUCUUUUUCACAUGAGGUCUGUUACCUAUCUGUGAGGAAUUACAGUGAUGGUUGCAGGCCUAUGCACUGUCCCAAAUGUAUGGACAAUAGCCCACAACACCAACCCAGCUCCUAUAAUUGGCCUACCAACACAGAAAGAAGGGAUUCCCUGUGUGCAACCCAACACUCAGCUGUAGGUGCUGCAGGGACAUUUUUCCCAAUCUGAACACAGCCCUACAGUGAGGACAGCAAGCAUAUACUACCCAGACUACUUGCAUAUCAGACAUUAAACCCAAUUCAAGUCUUGGGUUACUAACUGCACACCCACAGCUCUCAAUUCAGCUGUAGGGGCACACAGAGACAACAUGGGACCUAUACAAAUCCCAUUUAAUACAUCAACAACAUACCAUCAUGCUCAAUUUCAGUUCUUGUGACUGAAUUUACCCGAAUUCCAGGCUUACAGGGUAAAUUCCCUAUCCCUGGGUUACUUACGCACCUAUUCAGCCCAAUUCUGACUGAAAGAGGCUACAGGGAUCAUAGUUAACUUAACUCCUACCCCAAUUAACAUAAUACAGUAAGCUAACAUAAUUUACACAGUCCCUGUGACUGAUUCCCAGCCAAAUCCCAGGCAUGCAGUCCAAGGUUCCCAGUUCUGGGUGGCUGUAUGCUUGGGAAACCUUGCUGAAAUUAUUUUUUACUUACCCUAUUGUACAGCAAUUAGGAAGUAGGAUUUUUACCUUAAUUUUGCAGGUACAGCAGUAGGAAAGGUAGCAGCAGUAAUUCUCCCAACUUGGACAACAGCUUGCACUCUUGAGUAGCUUGCUCUAUGCUUGGACAACAGCUCCAUGUACUUCCUUCAGCUGGCAUGUAGUAGCAUCAUGAGAGGCAGCAGCCACAGCAGUAAUAGUAGCAGCCAGCAUGUGCAGCAGAGGCAGCAGGGGUAGCAUGCAGUCUGCAGUAGCAGAUGUAGCAUCAUCACUGGGACAACAACAUCAGCAGCCUGCAUGCUGCAGUAGGGGCAGCAGCGACAACCAACAGUAGCAACAAGAGGUGCAGCAGGGGCAGCAGCAACAGCAAGGAUCAGCUGCAUACAGCCCUACAUGCACAACCCAGGCAGCCGCCCCUUUCUUCCUCUUCUCUUCUUCUUCUUCUCCUCCUCCUCCUUCUUUCUUUCUUCUCCCCUUACCCCAAACAAAUUUAGUCUGUGAGAAAUGAGAGAAAAUGAGAGUAAAUGGGUUUAUAUAAUGGCUGGGCAUAAGCUACUAGGUUUGUUUGGCUGUAAGGGCCCAUUUUUAAAACUGAAUUAAGCACCAAUGCUGGGUGCCACAUGAUCAUCUGCAUGUUGGGUGCCACAUGACCAGUGUUGGAUGCCCUUUCAACUAAAGUAAUUGGCUGAGAAUGCCCGCAAGAAUGUGGGACCCAAAGAGCAAUAAUGCAGUUUGGGUUGCAGACAGCACCACCAGUAAGUCUCACUGGCUGGCCGGUGGUCAGGCAGGUGGCCUGCCGAUGACAAUAAAACUAUUCACCUAACAAUUCCAACCACAAGGCCAAAGGUCAGACAUGUGUGUGACCUUCAUUUCACCAUUUUGGUCUAAUUUCUUCAUUGUUUGUCCGGUGCACAAGCAGUUGGUAUGCUCACCAUGCAACCUUCACUGGCCAACUAAGGCAGCCUAACUACCCUUAGUCCCUAUUAUGUCCAGACACCCGAGGCAUACAGAUAAAUUUUGAUACGGGGUACCAAUGACGGCAUCACAACUAUCCCAGCCCUUGAUUUUCUCUCCUUCUCUACCCCCAACGCCUUUCUCAAAUCUGCCUCUCUUCUCUCGAUCUCUCUCGCAUGACAUAGCAUGACUUCCCUCGAUUUUUCACUACCAUUAAUAACUAUCCCACCCACAGAUUUUCUCUCCUUCUCUCACACGACCAAGAAAAAAUUCUCCCGAUUUUAUCUACACUAAUAACUACCCCAGCACUCAAUUUUCUCUCUCCCUGGAUCUUUUGUUGUACAACCUUACAAAGAAUCUCCCGAUUUUCUCUCCCACUAACAACUAUCCCAGCCCUCAAUUUCUCUUUUCGCUACCCACAACCCUUUCUCGAAUCUCUCUUCAUCUCUUGAUCUUUCUCGCAUGAACUAGCAUGACUUCUCCCCAUUUUCUCUGCAACUAAUAACUAGCCUAGACUCCAAUUUUCUCUCCCUCUCACACGACCAAGCAAAAAUUCUCCCAAUUUUCUCUUCCACUAAUAACUAUCCUAGCACCAGAUUUUCUCACCCUCGAUCUCUCUCGCAUGACCUAGAAAAAAUUCUCCAAUUUUCUCUCCCAAUAAUAACUAUCCUAGACCCCCAUUUUCGCUCCUUUACCCCGACCCCUUUCUUGAAUCUCUCUCCUCUUGAUCUCGCUUGCAUGACCACUAUAUGACUCCACCCAAUUUUUGCUCCCAUUAAUAACUAUCCUAGCCCCAGAUUUUCUCUCCCACUCGCACGUGAUAACAAAAAUUCUACCGAUUUUCUAUCUACAUCGAUCUCUCACAUGACCUAUCAAAAAUUCUCCUGAUUUCCUCUCCCACUAAUAACUGCCUACCCCGAUUUUCUCUCUCCUUCUCUAUCCCAACACCUUUCUUGAAUCUCCCACUUCUCUCGAUCUCUAUCAUACAACCUAGCAAAAAUUUUCCCUAUUUUUUCUUCCACUAAUAACUAUCCCAACACUUGAUUUUCUCUCUCCUCUACGCCAACCCCUUUCUUGAAUCUCUCUUAUGACCUUGCAUGACUUCUCUCGAUUUUAUCAUCCACUAAUAACAGCCCGAAUCCAUGAUUUUCUUUCUCUCACACGACCUAACAAAAUUUAUCUCUAUUUUCUCUCCCACUAAUUUCUAUCCCAGGAGUCGAUUUUCUCUCUCCCUCGAUAUCUCCUACACGACUUGUAAAAAUUCUCCCAAAUUUCUCUCCCACUAAUAACUAUUCCAGCCCUCGAUUUUCUCUCCUUCUCAACCCCAAAUCCCUUCCUCGAAUCUCACUCACGUCUCUCGAUCUCUCGCACGACCUAGCAUGACUUCUCCUGAUUUUCUCUCCUAGUAAUAACUAUCUCAAACCUUAAUUCUCUCGCAUGACCUAGUAAAAUUCUCUCGAUUUUCUCUCCAACUGAUAACUAUCCUAGGACCCGAUUUUUUGUCUCUUGAUCUCUCUUGCAUGACCAAGAAAAAUUAUUCUGAUUUUCUCUCCCACUAAAAGUUAUCCCAGCCCUGAUUUCUCUCAACUUUACCCCCAACCCUUUCUUGUAUCUCUCUCUAUUCUCUAGAUCUCUCGCAUGACCUAACAUGACUUCUUCACAUUUUCUCGCCGACUAAUACUUAUCUCAACCCUUGAUUUUCUCUCCCUAUCGCAUAACCUAGCAAAAAUUCUCCCGAUUUUCACUCCCUCGAUCUCUAUCACGGCCUAAAAAAAUUCUCCAGAUUUUCUCUCCCUCCCCCACAACCUAGAAACAAUUCUCCAAAUUUUCUCUCCCAUUAAUAACUAGCCCAACCCUUGAAUUUCUCUCCAUCUUUACCCCCAACCGCUUCCUCGAAUCUGUCUCUCUUCUCUCGAUCUCUCUCAAACAACCUAGCAUUCCUUCUCCCAAUUUUCUCUCCUUCUUAACCCCCAACCCCUUUCUCGAAUCUCACUCACUUCUCUCGAUCUCUCGCACGACCUAACAUGACUUCUCCCGAUUUUCUCUCCAUUAAUAACUAUCUCAACCCUUGAUUCUCUUGCAUGACCAAGUAAAAUUCUCCUGAUUUUCUCUCCCACUAAUAACUAUCCCAGCCCCCGAUUUCUCUUUCCUCUACCCACAACCCUUUCUCGAAUCUCUCUCUCUUCUCUUGAUCUCUCUCGCAUGACCUAGUACGACUUCUCUCCAUUUUCUUUGCAACUAAUAACUAGCCAAACCCCCGAUUUUCUUUCCCUCUCGCACGACCCAGUAAAAAUUCUCCCAAUUUUCUCUCCCACUAAUAACUAUCCCUACACCUGAUUUUCUCACCCGCAAUCUCUCUUGCAUGAUCAAGAAAAAAUUCUCAAAUUUUCUCUCCCAAUAAUAACUAUCCCAGACCUAAAUUUUCUCUCCUUUACCCUGACCCCUUCUUUAAAUCUCUCUCCUCUCGAUCUCUCUUGCAUAACCUAGCAUAACUCCUCCCGAUUUUUUCUCUUAUUAAUAACUAUCCUAGCUCCCGAUUUUCUAUCCCUCUCGCACUGCUAACUAAAAAUCGAUUUUCUCUCUCCAUCAAUCUCUCUCUCACGACCUAUAAAAAAUUCUCCUGAUUUUCUCUCCCACUAAUAACUAUUGCGGCCCUGAUUUUCUCUCUCCUUCUCUAUCCCAACACGUUUCUUAAAUCUCUCUCUCUUCUCUCGAUCUCUCUCGUACAACCUAGCAAAAAUUCUCCUGAUUUUUUCUUCCACUAAUAACUAUAUCUCAACACUUGAUUUUUUAUCUCCUUCUCUACCCUACCCCUCUCUUGAAUCUGUCUCUUACGACCUAACAUGACUUAUCAUGAUUUUAUCUCCCACUAAUAACUGCCCGAAUCCAUGAUUUUCUUUCUCACACGACCUAACAAAAUUUAUCUCUAUUUUCUCUCCCAAAAAUUUCUAUCCCAGGAGUCGAUUUUCUCUCUCCCUCGAUAUCUCUUACAUGACUUGCAAAAAUUCUCUUAAUUUUCUCUCCGACUAAUAACUAUUCCAACCCUCGAUUUUCUCUUCUUCUCAACCCCCAACCCCUUUCUCAAAUGUCACUCACUUCUCUCGAUCUCUUGCACGACAUAGCAUGACUUCUACUGAUUUUCUCUCCCAUUAAUAACUAUCUCAACCCUUGAUUCUCUCACAUGACCUAGUAAAGUUCUCCUGAUUUUAUAUCCAACUGAUAAAUAACCUAAGACCCGAUUUUUGUCCCUUGAUCUCUCACGGAUGACCAAGAAAAAUUCUUCAGAUUUUCUCUCCCACUAAUAGCUAUUCUAGCCCCAAUUCCUCUCUACUCUACCCCCAACACUUUCUUGAUUCUCUCUUUAUUCUCUUGAUCUCUUGAUCUCUCGAUCUUUUGCUCCUAACAUGACUUCUCCACAUUUUCUCUCCAACUAAUACUUAUCUUAGCCCUUGAUUUUUUCUCUAUAUCGUAUGACCUAGAAAAAAUUCUCCCGAUUUUCACUCCCUCGAUCUCUAUCAUGGCCGAAAAAAAUUCUCCAAUUAUCCCACCCACUAAUAACUAUCCCAAUCUAGAUUUUUCUCCUUCAUUACCCCCGACCUUUUCUCGAAUCUCUCUUGCACGACCUAGCAUUACUUCCCCUGAUUUUCUCUCUCCAUCAAUCUCUCUCACACGGCCUAGAAAAAAUUCUCCUGAUUUUCUCUCCCAUUAAUAAUUAUCCUAAACCCUAAUUUUCACUCUCCUUCUGCACCCCCAACCCCUUUCUUGAUUCACUUUUCUCUCAAACUCUCUCGCCCGACCCAGCAUGACUUCUCCUGAUUUUCUCUCCCACUACUAACCUUCCCAGCCAUGAUUUUCUCUCCCUUCCCCCCAACAUAGCAAAAAUUCUCUUAAGUUUCUCCCCAUUAAUAACUAUCCCAACCCUCGAAUUUCUCUCCUUCUUUACCUCCAACCUCUUCCUCGAAUCUGUCUCUCUUAUCUCCAACCCUUGAUUUCUCUCCCAUUAAUAACCUUCUCCCGAUUUUCUCUCCCUCUCAAUCCCAACCCCUUUCUUGAAUCUCACUCACUUCUAUCGAUCUCUCGCACGACCUAGCAUAACUUCUCCUAAUUUUCUCCCUCAUUAAAAACUAUCUGAAGCAUUGAUUCUCUCGCAUGACUUAGUAAAAUUUUCCGAUUUUCUCUCCCACUAACAACUAUCCCAGCCCCUGAUUUCUCAUUCCUCUACCCACAACCCUUUCUUGAAUCUCUAUCUCUUCUCUUAAUCUCUCUCACAUGACCUAGAAUGACUUCUCCCCAUUUUAUUUACAACUAAUAACUAGCCUUACCCCGAUUUUCUCUCCCUCUUGCAUGAUUGAGGAAAAAUUCUUUCGAUUUUCUCUUCCACUAAUAACUAUCCCAGCACCCGAUUUUAUCACCCUCGAUCUCUCUGACAUGACCUAGAAAAAAUUCACCAAUUUUCUCUCCCAAUAAUAACUAUCUCAGACCCCCAUUUUCGCUCCUUUACCCUGACCCCUUUCUUAAAUCUCUUUCCUCUCGAUCUCUCUUACAAGACCUAGCAUGACUCCCGAUUUUGCUCCCAUUAAUAACUAUCCUAACCCCUGAUUUUUUCUCCCACAUGCACGUGCUAAUAAAAAUUCUACCGAUUUUCUCUCUCCAUUGAUCUCUCUUACACGACCUAUAAAAAAUUCUCCGGAUUUUCUCUCCCACUAAUAACUAUUGCUGACCCCGAUUUUCUCUCUCCUUCUCUACCCCAACACCUUUCUUGACUCUCUCUCUCUUCUCUUGAUCUCUAUCAUACAACCUAGCAAAAAUACUCCCAAUUUUUUCUUCCACUAAUAACUAUCCCAAUGUUUGAUUUUCUCUCUCCUUCUCUACCCCCAACCCCUUUCUUGAAUCUCUCUUUUACAACCUAGCAUGACUUCUCCCGAUUUUAUCACCCACUAAUAACUGCCCGAAUCCAUGAUUUUCUUUCUCUCACAUGACCUAACAAAAUUUAUCUCUAAUUUAUCUCCCACUAAUUUCUAUCCCAGGAGUUGAUUUUCUCUCUCCCUUGAUAUCUCCUGCACAACUUGCAAAAAUUCUCCCAACAACUAUUCCAGCCCCUGAUUUUCUCUCCUUCUCAACCCCCAACCCCUUUCUCGAAUCUCACUCACUUCUGUCGAUAUCUCAGACGACCUAGCAUGACUUCUCUCACAUUAAUAACUAUCUCAACCCAUUAUUCUCUCACAUGACUUAAUAAAAUUCUCCCAAUUUUCUCUCCAACUGAUAAAUAUCGUAGGACCCGAUUUUUUGUCCCGUAAUCACUCUCACAUGACCAAGAAAAAUUCUUCUGAUUUUCUCUCCCACUAAUAGUUAUCCCUGUCCUGAUUUCUCUCAACUCUACCCCAAACCCUUUCUUGUAUCUCUCUCUAUUCUCUAUAUCUCUCGUAUGACCUAACAUGACUUCUCCACGUUUUCUCUCCAACUAAUACUUAUCUCAGCCCUUGAUUUUCUCUCCCUAUCGUAUGACCUAGCGAAAAUUCUCCCGAUUUUCUCUCCCUCGAGCUCUACAACGGCCUAAAAAAAUUCUCCUAUUCUCCCUCCCACUAAUAACAAUCCCAACCCAGAUUCUUCUCCUUCUUUACCCCGAUCCUUUUCUCGAAUCUCUCUUGCACGACCUAGCAUUACAUCACCCGAUUUUCUCUCUCCAUCAAUCUCUCUCGUACGGCCUAUAAAAAUUCUCCCAAUUUUCUCUCCUAUUAAUAACUAUCCCAAACCCUAAUUUUCACUCUACUUCUGUACCCCCAACCCCUUUCUUGAUUCUCUCCUCUCUUGAACUCGCUCACACGACCCAAUAUAGUCCUCCCGACUUUUUCUCCCAAGCCCCAUUUUCUCUCCCUCCCGCAUAACCUAGCAAAAAUUCUCCUAAUUUUCUCUCCCAUUAAUAACUAGCCAAACCCCCAAAUUUCACUCCUUCUUUACCUCUAACCUCUUCCUCGAAUCUAUCUCUCUUCUCUCGAUCUCUCUCAAACAACCAAGCAUUCCUUCUCCCGAUUUUCUCUCCUUCUCAAACCCCAACCCCUUUCUCGAAUCUCACUCACUUCUCUCUAUCACUCGCACGACCUAGAAUGACUUCUCCUGAUUUUCUCCCUAUUAAUAACUAUCUCAACCCUUGAUUCUCUCGUAUGACCAAGUAAAAUUCUCCCGAAUUUCUCUCCCACUAACAACUAUCCCAGCCCCCAAUUUCUCUUUCCUCUACCCCAACCCUUUCUCGAAUCUCUCUCUUCUCCUGAGCUCUCUCGCAUGACCUGGUAUGACUUCUCUCCAUUUUCUUUGUAACUAAUAACUAGCCAAGCCCCCGAUUUUCUCUCCCUCUCGCACGACCAAGCAAAAAUUCUCUCAAUUUUCUCUCCCACUAAUAACUAUCCAGUCACCCGAUUUUCUCACCCUCGAUCUCUCUCGCAUGACCUAGAAAAAAUUCUCAAAUUUUCUCUACCAAUAAUAACUAUCCCAGACCCCAAUUUUCUCUCCUUUACCCUGACCCCUUCCUUGAAUCUCUCUACUCUCGAUUUCUCUUGCAUGACCUAGCAUGACUCCUUCUGAAUUUCACUCCCAUUAAUAACAAUCCUAGCCCCCGAUUUUCUAUCGCUCUCGCACAUGCUAACUAAAAUUCUACUGAUUUUCUCUCUCCAUCAAUCUCUCUCGCAUGAUCUAUCAAAAAAUUCUCCUGAUUUUCUCUCCCACUAAUAACUAUUGCAAACCCCGAUUUUCUCUCUCCUUCUCUACCCCAACACCUUUCUUUAAUCUCUCUCUCUCUUCUCUCGAUCUUUCUCAUAUAACCUAGCAAAUAUUCUCCCGAUUUUUUCUUCCACUAAUAACUAUCUCAACACUUGAUUUUCUCUCUCCUUCUCUACCCCAACCCCUUACUUGAAUCUCUCUCUUAUGACCUAGCAUGACUUCUCUCGAUUUUAUCUCCUACUAAUAACUGCCCGAAUCCAUUAUUUUUUUUCUCACACGACCUAACAAAAUUUAUCUCUAUUUUCUCUCCCACAAAUUUCUAUCCUAGGAGUCGAUUUUCUCUUCCCUCGAUAUCUCCUACUCGAUUUGUAAAAAUUCUCCCAAUUUUCUCUCCCACUAAUAACUAUUCCAGUCCCCGAUUUUCUCUCCUCAACCCCUAACCCCUUUCUCGAAUCUCACUCACUUCUCUCGAUCUCUUACAUGACCUAGCAUGACUUCUCCUGAUUUUCUCUCCCAUUAAUAACUAUUUCAACCAUUGAUUCUCUCAUAUGACCUAGUAAAAUUCUCUCAAUUUUCUAUCCAAGUGAGAACGAUAGACCAGAUUUUUUGUCCCGAUCUCUCUCGCAUGACCAAGAAAAAUUAUUCUGAUUUUCUCUCCCACUAAUAGCUAUUCCAGCCCCGAUUUCCCUCCACUCUACCCCCAACCCUUUCUUGAAUCUCUCUCUAUUCUCUCGAUCUCUCCUAUGACCUAACAUUACUUCUUCACAUUUUUCUCUCCAACUAAUACCGAUCUCAACCCUUGAUUUUCUCUGCCUAUCAUAUGACCUACCAAAAAUUCUCCCGAUUUUUUCUCCUUGGAUCUCUAUCAUGGCCUAAAAAAAUUCUCCUAUUAUCCAUCCCACGAAUAACUAUCCCAAUUCUCCUUCUUUACCCCCGACCCUUUUCUCAAAUCUCUCUUGUAUGACCUACUAUUACUUCUCCCGAUUUUCUCUCUCCAUCAAUCUCUCUCGCACGGCCUAGAAAAAAUUCUCCCGAUUUUCUCUCCCAUUAAUAACUAUCCUAAACCCUAAUUUUCACUCUCCUUCCAUUCCCCCAACCCCUUUCUUGAUUCUCUCUUCUCAUGAACUCUCUCGCAUGACCCAACAUGACUUCUCCCGACUUACUCUCCCUCUAAUAACCUUCCCAGCCCCGAUUUUCUCUCCCUCUCCCACAACCUAGCAAAAAUUCUCCUAAUUUUCUCCCCCAUUAAAAACUAGCCCAACCCCCAAAUUUCUCUCCUUCUUUACCCCCAACCUCUUCCUCGAAUAUGUCUCUCUUCUAUCGAUCUCUCUCAAACAACCUAGCAUUCCUUCUCUCGAUUUUCUCUCCUUUCUCGAAUCUCACUUAGUUCUCUCGAUCUCUCGCACGUCCUAACAUGACUUCUCCUGAUUUUCUCUCCCAUUAAUAACUAUCUCAACCCUUGAUUCUCUGACAUAAACUAGUAAAAUUCUCUUGAUUUUCUCUCCCACUAACAACUAUUCCAGCCCCUGAUUUCUCUUUCCUCUACCCCAACCCUUUCUUGAAUCUCACUUUCUUCUAUUGAUCUCUUGCAUGACCUAGCAUGACUUCUCCCCAUUUUCUUUACAAAUAACCCCCCGAUUUUCUCCCGUACUAGCACGACUGAGCAAAAAUUCUCUCGAUUUUCUCUUCACUAAUAACUAUCCCAGCACCCGAUUUUCUCACCCUCGAUCGCAUGACCUAGAAAAAAUUCUCUAAUUUUCUCUCCCAGUAAUAACUAUCCUAUACCUAAAUUUUCUCUCCUUUACCCCGACCCCAUUCUUAAAUCUCUCUCCUCUCAAUCUCUCUUGCAUGACCUACCAUGACUCCUCCCGAUUUUUGCUCCCAUUAAUAACUAUCCUAGCCUCCGAUUUUCUCUCCCUCUCGCACUUGUUAACUAAAAUUCUAUCAAGUUUCUCUCUCCAUCGAUCUCUCUCCCAUAACCUAUCAAAAAUUCUCCUAAUUUUCUCUCUCACUAAUAAGUAUUGCAGACCCCUAUUUUCUCUCUCCUUCUCUACCGUAACACCUUUCUUGAAUCUCUCUCUCUCUCUUCACUCGAUCGCACUCAUACAACCUAAAAAAAUUCUCCCGAUUUUUUCUUCCACUAAUAACUAUCCCAACACUUGAUUCUCUCUCCUUCUCCACCCCAACACCUUUCUUGAAUCUCUCUUACUAUACCUAGCAUAACUUCUCUCGAUUUUAUCUCCACUAAUAACUGCCCGAAUACGUGAUUUUCUAUCUAUCACACGACCUAAUAAAAUUUAUCUCGAUUUUUUCUCCCACUAAUUUCUAUCCCAGGAGUCGAUUUUCUCUCCCUUGAUAUCUCCUGCACGACUUGCAAAAAUUCUCCCGAUUUUUUCCUCUACUAAUAACUAUUCCAACACUUGAUUCUCUCUCCUUCUCCACCCGAACACCUUUCUUGAAUCUCACUCACUUCUUUCAAUCUCUCGCAUGCAUGACUUCUCCUGGUUUUCUCUCCCAUUAAUAACUAUCUCAACCCUUGAUUCUCUUGUAUGACCCAGUAAAAUUCUCUUAAUUUUCUCUCCAACUAAUAACUAUACUAGUACCCGAUUUUUUGUUCCUCAACCACUCUCUCAUGACCAAGAAAACUUCUUUUGAUUUUCUCUCCCACUAAUAGCUAUCCCAGCCCUGAUUUCUCUCUACUCUACCCACAACCCUUUCUUGUAUCUCUCUAUUCCCUGGAUCUCUCUCAAGACCUAACAUGACCUCCACAUUUUCACUCCAACUAAUACUUAUCUCAGCCCUUGAUUUUCUCUCCCUAUUGUAUGACCUACCAAAAAUUCUUUUGAUUUUCUCUCCCACUAAUAGCUAUCCCAACCCAGAUUUUUCUCCUUCUUCACCCCCGACCCUUUUCUCGAAUCUCUUUUGCACGACCUAGCAUUGCUUCCCCCGAUUUUCUCUCUCCAUCAAUCUCUCUCGCACGGCCUAGAAAAAUUCUCCUGAUUUUCUCUCCCAUUAAUAACUAUCCCAAACCUUGAUUUUCUCUCUUCUCUCUUCUCUCAAACUCUCUCGCACGACCUAGCAUGACUCUCCCCGAUUUUCUCUCCCACCAAUAACCUUCCCAACCCUAUUUUCUCUCCCUCCCCCACAACCUAGCAAAAAUUCUCCUAAUUUUCUCCCCCAUCAAUAACUAUCCUAACCCCUGAAUUUCUCUCCUUCUUUAUUACCCCCAACCUCUCCCUCGUAUCUGUUUCUCUUCUCUCGAUCUCUCUCAAACAAACUAGCAUACUUUCUCCCGAUUUUCUCUCCUUCUCAAUCCCAACCCCUUUCUCAAAUCUCACUCACUUCCCUCGAUCUCUCGGACGACCUAGCAUGGCUUCUUCUGAUUUCUCCCCCAUAAUAACUAUCUCAACCCCAGAUUUCUCUUGCCUCUACCCCCAACCCUUUCUCGAAUCUCUCUCUUCUCUCUCUCCCUCUCGCACAACCGAGCAAAAACUCUCCUGAUUUUCUUUGUAACUAAUAAAUAUCCCAGUGCUCCCUUGAUCUCUCUCAUGACCUAGAAAAAAUUCUCCAAUUUUCUCUCCCAAUAAUAACUAUCCUAGACCCCAAUCUUCUCUCCUUUACCCUGACCCCUUUCUUGAAACUCUCUCCUCUCAAUCUCUCUUGCAUGACCUAGCAUGACUCCUCCCGAUUUUCGCUCCCAUUAAUAACUAUCCUAGACCCUGAUUUUCUAUCCCUCUCGCACGUGCUAACUAAAAUUCUACCCAUUUUCUCUCUCAAUGUUCCAGCGAUCUCUCUUGCACGACCUAUAAAAAUUUCUCCUGAUUUUCUCCCCCACUAAUAACUAUUGCAGACCUUGAUUUUCUCUCUCCUUCUCUACCCUAACACCUUUCUUAAAUCUCUUUCUCUUCUCUCGAUCUCUCUUAUACAACCUAGCAAAAAUUCUUUUGAUUUUUUCCUCCACUAAUAACUUUCCCAACACUUGAUUUUCUCUCUCCUUCUUUACCCCAACCCCUUUCUUGAAUCUCUCUCUUACGACCUAGCAUAACUUCUCUCGAUUUUAUCUCCCACUAAUAACUGCCCGAAACCAUGAUUUUUUUUCUCUUACACGACCUAACAAAAUUUAUCUCUAUUUUCUCUCCCACUAAUUUAUAUCCCUGGAUCGAUUUUCUCUCUCCCUCGUUAUCUCAUGUUCAACUUGCCAAAAUUCUCCUAAUUUUCUCUCUCAAUAACAACUAUUCCAGCCCACGAUUUUCUCUCCUUCUCAAAGCCGUUGCUCUUUCUCAAAUCUCACACACUUCUCUCUAUCUCUUACAUGACCUAGCAUGACUUCUCCUAAUUUUCUCUCCCAUUAAUAACUAUCUCAACCCUUAAUUCUCUCGCAUAACCUAGCAAAAUUCUCCCAAUUUUCUCUCCAACUGAUAACUAUCCUAUAUCCCGAUUUUUUAUCCCUCGAUCUCUCUCGCAUGACCAAGAGAAAUUGUUUUGAUUUUCUCUCCCACUAAUAGCUAUCCCAGCCCUGAUUUCUCACUACUCUACCCCCAACCCUUUCUUGAAUCUCUCUCUAUUCUCUCGAUCUCUCGCCUGACCUAACAUGACUUCUCCACUUUUUCUCUCCAACUAAUACUUAUCUCAGGCCUUGAUUUUCUCUCCAUAUCGUAUGACCUAGCAAAACUUCUCCUGAUUUUCUCUCCCUCGAUCUCUAUCAUGGCCUAAAAAAAUUCUCCUAUUAUCCCUCCCACUAAUAACGAUUCCUACCUAGAUUUUCUCCUUCUUUACCCCUGACCCUUUUCUCGAAUCUCUCUUACACGACUUAGCAUUACUUCCCCCAAUUUUCUCUCUCCAUCAAUCUCUCUCGCACGGCCUAGAAAAAAUUCUCCCGAUUCUCUCUCCCAUUAAUAACUAUCCCAAACCCUAAUUUUCACUCUCCUUCUGUACCCCCAACCCCUUUCUUGAUUCUCUCUUCUCUUGAACUCUCUUGCACGACCCAGCAUGACUUCUCCCAAUUUUCUCUCUCACUAAUAACCUUCCCAUCCCCGAUUUUCUCUCCCUCCCCCACAACCCAGUAAAAAUUCUCCUAAUUUUCUCCCCCAUUAAUAACUAGCCCAACCCCCGAAUUUCUCUCCUUCUUUACCCCCAACCUCUUCCUCGAAUAUGUCUCUCUUCUAUCGAUCUCUCUCAAACAACCUAGCAUUCCUUCUCCAGAUUUUCUCUCCGUCUCAACCCCAACCCCUUUCUCGAAUCUCACUCACUUCUCUUGAACUCUCAUAUGACCUAGCAUGACUUCUCCUAAUUUUCUCCCCCAUUAAUAACGAUCUCAACCCUUGAGUCGCUCGCAUGACCUUGUAAAAUUCUCUCCCACUAACAACUAUCCCAGCCCCUAAUUUCUCUUUCCUCUACCCCUAACCCUUUCUCGAAUCUCUCUCACUUCUCUUGAUCUCUCUUGCAUGACCUAGCAUGACUUCUCCCCAUUUUUUCUGUAACUAAUAACUAGCCUAGCCCCCGAUUUUCUCUCCCUCUCUCACGUCUCUCCCACUAAUAACUAUUUCAGCACCUGAUUUUCUCACCCUCGAUCUCUCUUGCAUGACCUAGAAAAAAUUCUCCAAUUUUCUAUACCAAUAAUAACUAUCCCAGACCCCAAUUUUCUCUCCUUUACCUCUACCCCUUUCUUGAAUCUCUCUCCUCUCGAUCUCUCUUGCAUGACCUAGCAUGACUCCUCCCGUUUUUCGCUCCAAUUAGUAACUAUCCUAGCCCCCGAUUUUCUCUCCCUCUCGCACUUGCUAAGUAAAUUUCUACCGAUUUUCUCUCUCAAUCAAUCUCUCUCGCACGAUCUAUCAAAAAUUCUCCUGAUUUUAUCCCCCACUAAUAACUAUUGCAGAUCCUGAUUUUCUCUCUCCUUCUCUACCCCAACACCUUUCUUUAAUCUCUCUCUCUCUCUCUUCUCUUGAUCUUCCUCAUAUAACCUAGCAAAUAUUCUCCCGAUUUUUUCUUCCACUAAUAACUAUCGCAACACUUGAUUUUCGCUCUCCUUCUCUACCCAACUCCUUUCUUGAAUCUCUCUUACGACCUUGCAUGACUUCGCUCGAUUUUAUCUCCCACACUAAUCACUGCCCGAAUCCAUGAUUUUCUUUCUCUCACACGAGCUAACAAAAUUUAUCUCUAUUUUCUCUCCCACUAAUUUCUAUCCCAGGAGUUGAUUUUCUUUCUCCCUCGAUAUCUCCUACACGACUUGUAAAAAUUCUCCCAAUUUUCUCUCCCACUAAUAACUAUUCUAGCCCUCGAUUUUCUCUCCUUCUCAACCCCCAACCCCUUUCUCGAAUCUCACUCACUUCUCUUGAUCUCUCGCAUGACCUAGCAUGUCUUCUUCUGAUUUUCUCUCCCAAUAAUAACUAUCUCAAACCUUAAUUCUCUCGCAUGACCUAGUAAAAUUCUCUCAAUUUUCUCUCCAACUGAUAACUAUCCUAUGACCCGAUUUUUUGUCCCUCAAUCUCUCUCGCAUGACCAAGAAAAAAUUCUUCUGAUUUUCUCUCCCACUAAUAGCUAUUCCAGCCCCGAUUUCUCUCUACUCUACCCCUAACCCUUUCUUAAAUCUCUCUCUAUUCUCUCGAUCUCUCGAAGACCUAACAUGACUUCUCCAUAUUUUCUCUCCAUCCUAUCCCAGCCCUUAAUUCUCUCUAUCGUAUGACCUACCAAAAAUUCUCCCGAUUUUCACUCCCUCGAUCUCUAUCACGGCCUAAAAAAAUUCUCCUAUUAUCCCUCCCACUAAUAACUAUCCCAACCCAAAUUUUUAUCCUUCUUUACCCCCGACCCUUUUCUCGAAUCUCUCUUGCAUGACUUACCAUUACUUCCCCCGAUUUUCUCUCUCCAUUAAUCUCUCUAGCACGACCUAGAAAAAAUGCUCCUGAUUUUCUCUCCUAUUAAUAACUGUCCCAAACCCUAAGUUUCACUCUCCUGUACCCCCAAGCCCUUUCUUGGUUCUCUCUUCUCUCGAACUCUCGAAAUCUCUCGCACGACCUAGCAUAACUUCUCCCAAUUUUCUCUCCGACUAAUAACCUUCCCAGCCCCUGAUUUUCUCUCCCUCCCACACACAACCUAGCAAAAAGGCUCCUAAUUUUCUCUCCCAUUAAUAACUAGCCCAAUCCCCAAAUUUCUCUCCAUCUUUACCCCAAACAUCCUACUUAAAUCUCUCUUCUCUCGAUCUCUCUCAAACAACUUCGCAUUCCUUCUCUCGAACUUCUCUCCCUCUCCUGCAUGACCUAGAAAAAACUCUCUUUAUUUUCUCUCCAAUAAUAACUAUCCCAGCACCCAAUUUCUCUCUUCCUUUAUAUCUAUUGCACGACCUAUCAAAAAAUCUCCCGCUUUUCACUCCCACUAAUUACCCCAACUCCCAAUUUAUCCUCUAACCUAUCUCUCAAUCUCUCUCGCAUGACCUAAUAAGACUUCUCCCAAUUUUCCUCUCCAACUAAUAACUAUCCCAGCAAUCGAUUUUUUUCCCUCUCGCAUGACGUAGCAAAAAUUCUCCUAUUUUUCUCUCCCACUAGUCACUAUCUCAGCACCCGAUUUUCUCACCCUCGAUCUCUCUCGCACAACCUAGAAAAAAUUCUCCCAUUUUCUCUCCUAAUAAUAACUAUCUCAACCCCAAUUUUCUCUCUCCUUCUCUACCCCAAAACCUUUCUCUAAUCUCUCUCUCUUCUCUUGACCUCUUUCGCAUGACGCAGCCUGACUUGUCCUGAUUUUCUCUUCCUCUUGCAUGACCUAACAAAAAUUCUCCUAAUUUUUUCUCCCACUAAUAAUUUUUCCAACCCUCGAUUUUCUAUCUUCUUUUUUACCCCGACCCCUCUCUCGAAUCUAUCUCUUCUCCCGAUCUCUCUCGUAUGACCUAGCUUUACUUCUGUCGAUUUUCUCUCAUACUAAUAACUAGUCAAACCCCUAAUUUCUUCCUCCCAGACAACCUAACAAAAUUUCUCUUGAUUUUGUCUCCCACUAAUAUCUAUCCCAGGAACCAAUUUUCUCACUCCCUCUAUCUCUCUUGCACGACAUGUAAAAAUUCUCCCAAUUUUCUCUCCAUUGAGACCCCCAACCCCUUUCUCGAAUCUCACUCACUUCUCUCGAUCUCUUGCAUGACUUGUUCCGAUUUUCUCUCCCCCUCUCGCAUGACCUAGCAAAAUUCUCCCGAUUUUCUCUCUAACUAAUAACUAUCGCAAAACCUAUUUCCCCUCUUGCUCGAUCUCUCGCAUGAUCUAAAAAAAUUCUCUUGAUUUUCUCUCCUUCUCUACCCCCAACCCCUUUCUCUCGAAUCUCACUUAUUUUUCUCAAUCUCUCAUAUUAACUAGCAUGAUUUGUCCCAAUUUUCUGUUCCCCUCUCGCAUGACCUGGAAAUAUUCUCCUGAUUUUCUGUCCAACUAAUAACUAUCCUAGAACCCUAUUUUUCUCUCUCGCAUGAUCUAGCAAAAAUGCUCUUAAUUUUCUCGAAUCUCUUUAGGUUCUCUCUCUCUCUCGAUCUCUCUCUCUCAUGAUCUAACUUGACUUCUCCACAUUUUUUUCUCUAACACUCAAUUUUCUCUCCCUAUCACAUGACCAAGCAAAAUUCUCUAGAUUUUCUCUCCCUCAAUCUCUCACGACCUAAAAAAAAAUUCCCUUUCUUCACCCACUAAUAACUAUCCCAGCCUUGAUUUUUUCUCCUUCCUUACCUCGACAGCCCUUUUCUCAAAUCUCUCUCGCAUGACAUAGCAUUACUUCUCCCGAUUUUUUGUCCCACUAAGAACUAUCGUAAACCCUGAUUUUCUCCCUCGUGCAUGACCUAGCAAAAAUGCUCUCAAAUUUUGCUCUCCAUUGAUCUCUCUUGCACAACCUAGAAAAAAUUAUCCUGAUUUUCUAUUCUAUUAAUAACUAUUCUAACCCUCAAUUUUUCACUCUCCUUCUCUACCCCAACCCCUUUCUCGAUUCUCUCUCUCUUCUCUCAAUCUCUCUCGUACGACCCAACAUGAAUUCAACCGAUUUUCUCUCCCACUAAUAAUAUCCAGCCCUUGAUUUUCUCUCCCUCUUGCACAACCUAUCGAUGUUCGUACUGAUUUUCUCUCCCACAAAUAAUUAGCCAAGCCCACUAAUUCUCUCUCCUUCACUACCCCCAACCCCUUUCUCGAAUCUGUCUCUCUUCUCUUGAUCUCUCACGCAUAACUCUUUAGAUUUUGUCUCCCAUUCAUUACUAUCCCAACCCCCAAUUUUCUCUCCCUCUCUAGCACGACUUAGAAAAAAUUCUCUUGAUUUUUUCUCCACUAUCCCAACACUCAGUUUACUCUCUCCCUCGAUCUCCCUCACAUGACUAGCAAAAAUCUCUUGAUUUUUUCCCCCACUAAUAAUUAUCCAGCUCCCGAUUUAUCCUGUACUCCAUACCCUUUCUCGAAUCUUUCAGUGGGGUAUUGAUCCUCAUCGUCACUAUCUGUAAUGGUAAUUAUUCCAACCAUUGGAUCAUCAUCUUUGGACUCCCCUUCUCGGCUCGAAGUGGGAAGUCGAGGUCCUCUUCAAAUAUCGAGAGCCCUGACUCAUAAUUUCUUGACCACAUUGGAAAGACACUGGAACGAGGCGUCUGUUGCUUCUACAAAUGUGUCCUCUGGCCCUAUUUUCUCCAGGUUAUUCAACUGGUCAUUGUAGUAGCGUUCACUGAUGGUUACUUCACCAAGCAUGUGGUCAAUUUCUUCCACUCUUUCUUGCAUCCUCCCCACUUAUGAGUAUACAUCACACAUCUUUUCUUCCAUAUCUAUCAUGGAGUUCAAUUCGUAUAUAAAAACAUUUACUUGUUCUUCCAACUCAUCAUCAUUUCUUGAAUCUGACAUGGAAUCAUCCCCUUCCAUGCAGAUCUCUCUCAUACAACCUAGCAAGACUUCUCCCUAUUUCCUCUCCAAGUAAUAACUAUCAUAGCCACUAAUUUUCUCUCCCUUUCGCAUAGCCUAGAAAAAUUCUCCCGAUUUUCUCUCCCAAAAAUAACUAUCCCAGCCCGAUUACCCUUGAUCUCUUUUGCAAGACUUAGAAAAAAUUUCCUGAUUUUCUCUCCCAUAAAAAUCCCAAACCCCGAUUUUCUCUCAUUCUUUACCCUGACCCCUUUCUCAAUAAAAAUCCCAGACCUCGAUUUUUUCUCUUUCUUUACGCCCGACCCCUUUCUCAAUUCUCUCUCCUCUCGAUCUCUCUUGCAUGACUUCUCCUAAAAAUCUGUUUAACUCAAAAUAUCCUAGCCCCCGAUUUUCCUUCCCUCUCACGUGACCUAUAAAAAAUUCCCUGUAUUUUCUCUCCCAUAAUCUCUCUUGCAGACCUAGCAAAAAUUCUUCUGAUUUUCUCACCCACUAAUAACUAUCCCAACUCCUAAUUUUCUCUCCUUCUUUACCCCCAACACCUUUCUCGAGUCUCUCUCUCUUCUCUCGUUCUCUCUCAUAUGACCUAGCUUGACUUCUCCUAAUUUUCUCUCCCUCUCGAAUGACCUAGCAAAAAUUCUCCCAAUUAUUUCUCCCACUAAUAACUAUCCUAGAACUCAAUUUUCUCUCUCCUUCUCUAUCCCUGACCCCUUUCUUGAAUACCUCUCUUCUCCUGAUAUCUCUCAUACGACCUAGCACGACUUCGUUGGAUUUUCUCUCCUAUUAAUAACUGCUUGAACCCCUGAUCAUCUUCCUCUCACAUGACAUAACAAAAUUUCUCUCGAUUUUCACUCCCACUAAAAUCCAUCCCGGGAAUCGAUUUUCUCUCUCCCUCAAUCACUCUUGCACGACUUGCAAUAAAUCUCCAGAUUUUCCCUCCCACUAAUAACUAUUCAACCCCUUUCUCGAAUCACACUUCUCUCAAUCUCUCGAAUGACUUAGCAUGACUUAUCCUGAUUUUUUCUCCUUCUCUCGUAUGACCUAGAAAAAUUCUACCGAUUCUCUCCAUCUGAUAACUAUCCUAGGACCUAAUUUUCUCUCUCCCUCGAUCUUUCUCGCACGGCCUAGCAAAAAUUCUCCUGAUUUUCUCUCCACUAAUAGAUAUCCUAGCUCCGAUUUCUCUCUAUACUACCCCCAACCCUUUCUUGAAUCUCUCUCUGCUCUAUCGAUCUCUCUCGCGUGACCUAGCAUGACUUCUCCACAUUUUCUCCACUACUAAUACCUGUCCAAACCCUUGAUUUUCUCUCCCUAUCGCAUAACCUAGAAAAAUUUCUCUCGAUUUUCUCUGCCCCGAUUUCUCUCACUGCCAAAAAAAAGUUCUCCCAUUUUUGCUCCCACUAAUAACUAUCCCAACCUCUGAUUUUUUUCUCCUUCUUUACCCCUGACCCUUUUCUCGAAUCUCUCUUAUAUAACAUAGCAUGACUCUCCCGAUUUUCUCUCUCCAUUGAUCUCUUUCACAUAACCUAAAAAAAUUCUCAUAAUUUUCUCUCUCCCUAAUAACUAGCUCAGCCCCUGAAUUUCUCUCACCUUCUCUACCCCCAAUCCCUCUCUCGAUCUCUCGAGCACAACCUAGGAUGACUUCUCCCAAUUCCCUCCCAUUAAUAACUAUCCCAACCCCCGAUUUUCUCCCCCUUUCGUGCAAACUAAAAAAAAUUCUCUUGACUUUCUCUUCAGUAAUAACUACCCAGCACCCAAUUUUGUCUCUCCCUCGAUCUCUCUCGCAGAACCUAUAAAAAAUCUCCUAAUUUUCUCUCCCACUAAUAACUAUCCUAGCUCCCGAUCUAUUCUCUACCCCCAGCCUUUUCUCGAAUCUCUCUUUGUGCUCUCGAUCUCUCUCACAUUACCUAUCAAGACUUCUCCCCAUUUCCUCCCCAACUAAUUACUAUCCCAGCCAUCGAUUUCCUCUCCCUAUCGCACGACCUAGAAAAAAUUCUUUCGAUUUUCUCUCCCAGUAAUAACUAUCCCAGCACCCGAUUUUCUCACCCUCAAUCUCUCUCUCACAACAUAGAAACAUUUCUCUGACUUUCUCCCAUAACACUUCUCCCCCUUUUGAUUAUUGAUGGUUGGAAUAAGUUAUGGAUAGUAUCACUCUUUUUAAAACACUUCUCCCCCUUUUGAUUAUUGAUGGUUGGAAGAAUCUAUGGAUAGUAUCACUAUUUUUAAAACACUUUUCUUUGGCAUCGAUACAACAUUUGUUAUACCCAUUAAAAAUUUUCAAUCACUAUAGAAGGAAGUUUGAUAUUUAAAUUUUGAAUAAGAAAUACAUGAGAUUCUGCACAUGCAAUACAAUUUACUACCAGCUAUGUUGAUUUUAAAUUGAAAUGAAAUCAAUAAAAAUCAUCCAAGUAAACAUUCCACAUGAACAAACAACAUUGAAUAAUUAAAUUAAAAUAUGGGAGAGGGUUCUCUGAACAAGCAAGUGGCAUAGAGGAGAGCACCUCAUGGGGGCAAAAAACAGAGUCGUAUGAUGAGGAGAGAUAGACACAAAAGUGCUAGAUUACCUUGACCCUAACAACUCAGAAAAAUUUCCUCAAAAUAUUUACAUAUACUGCAAUUUAACUCCACUAUUCCAAUUUUCCAAAGUAAUCAGCCUAAUCCCAGUUUAAGGUAUCCCAUUCUAACAGGGAUAGAUAAAUCAUCUCCCAAUCGGCACUUUCUCCAGUCUGUGGUGGUUGAGCAUUGUCUCUGCCUGUGGAUGAACAUUCAUGUUCGCUGCUUUUCUCUACCCUGGGCAU